rnacentral:tRNA from 1 species
GGCCCCGUAGCUCAGUAGGAUAGAGCGAGCGCCUCCUAAGCGCUAGGCCACUGGUUCGAAUCCAGUCGGGGUCACCA